GACGAACGCUGGCGGCGUGCUUAACACAUGCAGGUCGAACGGAAAGGCCCUGCUUUUGUGGGGUGCUCGAGUGGCGAACGGGUGAGUAACACGUGAGUAACCUGCCCUUGACUUUGGGAUAACUUCAGGAAACUGGGGCUAAUACCGGAUAGGAGCUCCUGCUGCAUGGUGGGGGUGGGAAAGUUUCGGCGGUUGGGGAUGGACUCGCGGCUUAUCAGCUUGUUGGUGGGGUAGUGGCUGACCAAGGCUUUGACGGGUAGCCGGCCUGAGAGGGUGACCGGCGACAUUGGGACUGAGAUACGGCCCAGUCUCCUACGGGAGGCAGCAGUGGGGAAUCUUGCACAACGGGAGGAAGCGUGAUGAAGAAACGCCGCGUGUGGGAUGACGGCCUUCGGGUUGUGAACCGCUUUAGCCUGUGACGAAGCGUGAGUGACGGUAAUGGGUAAAGAAGCACCGGCUAACUACGUG
rnacentral:rRNA from 1 species